UUGUAUGAAGUUUUAUACAUUCACAAUUAUGUAAUCUGUGAAUCCAUAUACUUACUUAGAGCUUAGAGAUAUCAUUCUAAUCUCUCAGUUGAAGGAAACUUAGAUUCCUUUUGCUCCAUCAUCAUGAACUGAAAACCUCUGAUGCCAAUGACCUUAUUAGCCUCUGAGGGUGUCUGCUGAACAAUUCUCUUUAGAAGUCUUGCUCACGUUUUGGGCCGAGUUGACUCAGUUUGUGACAGCUUCCAGAAGCCUGAAGGUGACACCUCAUCUCAGGUGACUAUCCCUGAGUGUUCUGUGUAGAACCCAAAACUGUAUGAUGUGAUCUGCCAGGGUUAUUUAUAGCAAAUACAAUGAUUUCUGAAAAGUCAGAGUGAAUAAGAACUGAAUGGGACGGUUACCUGGGGAACCAUAAUAACCGUUUCUGAGAUGGGUUUUUAAAUACAAGUAGUUUCCCCCCCACCCCCCAACAUAUGUGCUUUGUCGGUGAAAUAUUUUUUUAAAAAAACAGAAGACACGUUUAUCAGUGAUCAUUUUUAAUGAUUUUGAGCUGUGGUUCAAACACAGCAUUAAGAACAAGCAGAAGAGGCUGAUUUCAUAACACACAGCACUUAGAGCAACAUCUUCCUUUAAAAGUCCGGAUUGCGGUUACAGACCUUGGGUCUAAGAACUACAUCCCCUCGCUCAGUUAAAGAGGCAGAUACAUGACAGCUGGAAAUCUUUCUCUGUGUAUAACUGGGAAUUAUGUUGAACAGUAAGCACAAAUGUCUGUUUGAAAAAGAGACUUUAACAACUUGAGAUUAUUAUAGAUCAUGUGAACAACUAUUGAAAAGUUCAGAUACAGUUGUACUUUUUCAUUAUAAAGCAGCCUAAUGAAAAUUAAGUGAAUUAAAUGCUGUGAAUAGUAUUGUACAUAUUUUAAAAUAGCGUUUACAUCAGAAAGUGUGAUUUUUGAAAGCCGUGAAAUGAAGAAUAGCAAUAUACCAGCAAGCACAUUAAGAUGAACCAGUAUAAUUAACAGUAAAGUUUAAGCCUCUAGUAGUCCUGUAGAAAAGCCAUGACAUGGUAACAAAUUUAGUGCCUCUGAGUCUAGAACAUCCUCAGAUGACACUCCUGCUCAGCAGUCCUCCCAAGAGGUGAAGCCUGGGGAAGUUUUUCUGACAGGGAGGAGCCUCCACCCUUGACCUGAACCACCAGGGCCACUGCCAUUGGCAGUGAGCAGACAGCGGGGGCAAUGGGCGCAGAAAACACAGAUCCCCAUCUUCUUGUGGGCCUUGGAAAGCACAGUCAAAGAAGGGCUGACCUCUGGUCCAAUAGCAUCAAGAGCUGCAGAGGUGUUUUCAGUUUAAGGAUAAUCAGUAAUUAUUUUGUGGAGGACAAGCUCCAUCGUGAUUUUCAAAAUCAAAGCAUACACCACGGAACAAAUAAAAAACAAGGAAUUAUUAGAAUUUACAUCCUCCGAUGACAGAAUAAACUGGAAAUAUGGAUCAGGUGGACAGAAUUUCACGAAACUGUGGACGGCACUGGGAAGGAUGCCCACACCACGAUUUCAUCCAUGGUUUUAAUGAAUGUUGUCAUAGGCUCUUCUUUUUUCUUUUUUCAAUAUUAGAAUAUUUGAAGAUAAAUGCAGAGGUCACCAUCAGACACUAAAGAGAGCUGUAAGUAGAUGCUGAGUCAGGGGGUGUGACGUGGUCCCUGGUCAGUGGCAAAGCCUAGUUUGUUUCUGGGGUCAUGAUCACCAGGAGACACCAAAAGGAAGGGACGGGACAUAAGAAUUCACUCGGCUGGCUGAUUGCCAAUCUGCUAAUUAUAACCCAUAAAAGAAAUCUUUCUGAGACUGGGGUCUUCUCAAGUGGACUGGUUUGUCCUAAGUUAUUUUUCCUGCAAAUGCUACUGUUCAUUCAUUGGUUCCACAGCUUCCGUUUGUCAAAAAGGCACAGAGAGACAGAUGGUCACAAAUGCAUCUGGACUGCACAGUCCUCUGCUGCAGGCUAAUGUGCUCACUCUGACCUAAGUUUUGCAAUUUCAGUGAAAAGAGCACUCUUCACUGGGUUUGCCCUCUUCAUUCUACAACAUGAGAUAGAAUAUUUUUUCAUAAAGCAAGUUGAAGAAUCCACAUUUUUUUCUGAUUAUAACUAAUACUGGUCCAACUGAACAUUAUUGAAGGGAUUAAAAUAAGCAUCUGGUGGCUUCAAAAGGCUGUGGGAUUUUUAAAAAUUAUUUCUUAAGAAGUUUUCACAGCAAAGAUUCAACUCUGAUUGCUGUACAUAUGUUGUUCAUAGGCAGUGCUUGCUUGUUCAGACUUGUUUCCCUUGUGUUACAAUACUGAUAUUUAUUAAUAAACUACAUAGACUUUUAUCUGUAUGCAUCCAUUCGCAAAUUUCCUUAUAAAAGAGGACAAAGCACAUAGGCAUUCACAAAUUCUAUGCCAUUUCUGUUAAAAUUGGUAUCUAUACCUUAUAUUGCAGUAUUAACAAAGUUUUGUUCUACCCAUUGGGUAGGAUAUGUGCGUAAUAUAGUCAAGUUAUAUACAGCACCUUACAAAUGAACGCCUGACAGACACUGAAAGCACCAUUGUGAGUGAGGCACAACAAAGGGGGCUGGGUUCCUGCAUCUGCUGAAGUUAGAACAUGAGACACCUUGGCCGCUUAAAAACUACUGCCACGCUGAGCGCUGUGAAAGGACGUGGAUCUUCAUCAUCUGCAUCUCUGUACAGCUCUCACCCCAGCACCUCACACACACUGAGGACAGCGCUGCUCACAAGGCAUCCCUCCCCGCGCGCCAGCCUGAAGGCAGGAGCAGCAAGUGGCCGUCUAACCCUGGCCGUGAACAUAAACUUGAACUGUGCAAGAUGCAGCACUUGGGGAGUAAAAUAAGCUAAGCUGAAAUCCUGAUUCCUGUGGAAUUCGCACAAUUCAGGUGAGCCGCUGGGACCCAUUUGUGGUCGGGGUGAGAGCAGGUCUUUCAUCUGCUUUUGUUGGGCCCCUUUAGACACAGCGUCCUCACACUGGGGAGGACUUGCCAAUGCAUCUCCAUUUCGCCAAGGCCAUGGUAACCAAGGUGACCAUGCAGAAGGGGAGCCUGGUCCCUGCUUCUCCACCAAGGUGGUGGGGGGGGAGCUGUCACCGCAAGGCCCUGCGCCCAGCACAAGUAUCUUUCCCAGUUUUUCCUUCACAGACACUGCUCAGCUCUGGAAAUUUUAAGAAAAAUGAAUGGUACACUAACAUGUUGCUGUUCUAAGCAGCAGACCUCAAGCAGCAGCCUUGGCACAGCAAACACAAGGCUUGGGGAGCAGCCCCUAGCCGCUGCCUCGCAGCCAGACCAGUGUGGGAACCUGGUGGCCAACAGCAAAUGGAAGCUGCUUUGGAGGGGCUCGUGGACCUGGACAGUCUCUGCAAGGACUCUCUGGACAAAAGAGCAGGUGGAGAGAUUGACUACUUGUGUGGAUGUUACUAUGUGAAAUGGAUGAAGAUUCCAAUCCUCCAAACAAAACCCAGGGACCUACCAACCAAGAGGAGCCUCGGAAAGGAGCAGCAGAAAGCAGUUUGAGAGCUUUCUGCCAGCAGCACGAGGGCACCUCACCGGGCAGCCACCUCCGAGACCAUGACAGCAGACAUCCAGAACUGCAGAAACUGCACUGCUGGAGGACCAGGGCAGCACUGCGUGGUGUGUAAAUGCAGGUGUGAAACACGCAGCCUGAGGCUGGAGGGACUCAACACACCAGGGAUGCAGGAGUUUCCUCUGCUCCAUCCAGAGUCUCCAGGUGCCUCAGUGACGCAUUCACUGCUGUGUGGUGACUUUCUUGGUGAAUGUAAGUAAGUGGCGUAUGUUAGGCUACCUCCCCAGACACCCUUUCCUGCAUGAUUAUGGGGGAGAUUAUUAUGAGGCCUAAUUAUAAUCCACAGGUGAAAAGACAACAUACAGAACUUCGCGUAAAGCUUCCUCAUUAUCUUAAACAUGAAGAUAGUGCAACUUUUAAAACACAGCAUCACAACACUGAUUAACCCCUUGCAUUCAUCUGACUUCUCCACUUUAUACCUUGGCACACAAAACAGGAAUUUAGAAUCAUAUUUUUAAAACAAAAGUUCCACAGGUUGGGGGUGGGAAGCAAACUGGUGAUUCUUCCCCAUAAUGUAUAAUGUUUUUCUCUGUAUUCAGUUAAUUGUAAAACAGGCCAUUCUGGCCUCUUCCCCUGCUGCGUCUGCUUUCAUAAUCAAGUCAGAUGCCUCUGUGGGUUUUAUUUCAUGAUGUCUUCAAAGCAACCCUUUGUGUUCUCAUGCCCACCCUUUGCCAAAACCUGCCCUUUCCCAUCACUGCCCCAGAUGAACACCGUUUGCGGCCAGACUGAAGGAGGUUUGUACUAUUUCAGCCUGCGUGCGGCUCCUGUGGAAGGAAUCAUUCUGUUUUACUGAACUUGCUGUGCUGGGGACGGAGGGGCAGUGCCACCGCCUCCCUCCUCUUUUCUUAAGUCAGGUAUGCACGCAGGUCAGACGAGGUUCCCGGGCUUCCUGUCCUUGCCCUGGACGGGCAGCUCGGUGCCCCGCAGGGCCGUCCCGCUGGAGUGGCAGUCUGCUCCCCCUGUGCGUGCUGCUGUGCUGGGGGUGGAAGAGAGUGGCGCCCGGGCAGUGGCCCAUCACCUCGCUGUAGGCCGGGGGUGGCCCCUCCAUCCUCCUGUUACUGCUGCAGGUGCUGGCACUUAUGCCCGAAUUGCUGCUGGGUGGGCGUGGGCCCCCGCUGAAGACAGACACAUCUAUCAAAUCGCUGUCAAAUAUGGUUCGGUUGGGCGGGGCCCUCACAGACUCUCGGUUGAGUUCCAUCUGCUGUUCGGGGUCCCGGAGCUGCAGGGUGCAGGGCCCCUGGUAAGGAGGCGGCUCCUCCCCGUCCGACAGGGAGAUGGUGGGGGGAAGGUCGAUCUCGUGCUGCACAUAGGGGUAGGUGGGCUGGAAGCGGCUGAACCGAUCCCUCUGGAGAAAGGUUGGGGCAGUCCCCCCAUCCCUGGACCGUGGGGCGUACAUGAUCUGCAGGGAAAAGAGCAACACCUGGGAGAUGUUCUUGGCACGGUGAUGACCACGGACGUGAUGGCAGCAAGGAAAUUCACGUCUGUUCUCACCCAUCUGAAAACUUUUCCCCCCCAAAAACAUGUAAAGGCUAUUCCAGGAAAACAGAGGUUUUUUGUUCCUAAUGACUUACAUCACUCACCUUGCCAAACCCAGGAUGGUUCAGCAACGGAUAAUUGCGGUUACCUGAAAAUGUAGGUUUAAUGGAGUUAUUGUGUGUACAUUUCCCACUGGGUCAAGGAGAAUACAGGAGCCCCCCACCCCAAGCCUGCCCACCAUGUGACCUUCUCCGGGCCCCACUCCUGUGAUUCAGAGGAGUGUAGAGUGUGCAGAAUUUUCAUUGUAAAUGUAAGUUGUAACUUCACAGGAUGGUACUUGGAGCAGGUGCAAGACAUUGGGUCAAUUUAUGAGUUAUUUAUAGGAGCUUGUUGCCCUAUCAAUUACUUACAAAUAUGGAACAAGUGACUUUUUUUCUUUCUGGAUAAAAGUUUCCUGUAGUUAUUUUUAGCAACUGACAUGAAAACUAUUUUAUAUUCCAAAGUAAGUAUGAUUAUAGAUAUUUUUCCCCCCAAAAGAAUCCAGGUACUCUUAUUUCUUGCAUAACUAACUUCUCAUCUAUUCCACCAUCUCACUUUCUUCUAGAGGAAGGACAUAUGUAUAUAAAGAUAUACGUCCAUCUGUCUGUCAACUUCUCUCACACCAUGUUUUUAACUUAAAAGCAAAAAAACGUUAUCUUUACAAUCAUACUAAUAAACUGGGAGAUGGGAUGAAUCAAGCGGUGAUGUUUAUAAGCUAUGCUGACACCCACCACCUCAUUAUCAUCAGCAGCUUAAGGCAUCAAGUGAAGAUCCUGGAUUCUCGACCUGUUUUCUGGAAGGAGCUCUGGCCAGGCACAAAGAAUCCUUGGGAGAGUCUAGGGAAGACCCCUCCCCCACCUCUUAAACCAAGUUAUAGGCACAGGCCUUGAUCUUCGUCUGUGCUGACACGUUCAACCCUUCCACCAAUUUUGUUCAUCCCCCUCUACGCAUCUCCUGCCACCCACACCCCGCCUGUGUCCAACCCCUUACCUCCGAGGCGGGCCGAGGUCCAGAUCUGUCUGAAGGCCACAGGCGCCCUUCCUGGUUGGGGGGUGGGGGACAUCACAGGAAGAUCAUUAGUUUCAUGCAGCAGCACCCAAAGCCAAGGGAUCACACUCAGAUGAGGGCAGGCUAUUUAACACCCGGAACCACAAAGCCCCAGCCUUUUGUUACCUGCACCCCCAGAGGAGUCGUGGCCACAGGAAAGUCAAACAGUUCGGGUCUCCCCACAGUAGCCUUGAACGGUGUGCCCAUCCACACCGGUUGGCUUUCAGACUGAGUUUCCCAAAUCUAAGAGCCCUCUGUGCAUCUUCUCAUGAAUUGAUUCCUCAGUACAAAUGCUCACGAGGAGUGUGGAACCUGACAUCUAGUGGCUUAGUAAUCUUCUUUCAAAAAUGUUUGGCCAGGAACUUUCCUGGUGGUGCAGUUGGUUAAGACUCCACGCUCCCAUUGCAGGGGGCCUGGGUUCAAUGCCUGGUCAGGGAACUAGAUCCCACGUGCAUGCCACAGCUAAGAGUUCGCAUGCCGCAACUAAGAAGCUGACGAGCCACAACUAAGACCCAGCGCAACCAAAAAAAAAGGCCAGACCGACAAGGUGACAAGGAAACAGUAGGCAUGAUUAAGGGUCACUUCUAACACCAUAAACUUGUCUACAGAGCAUUUCAGUGUGGUAUCCCUUUUGAACCCAAAUUGUUGGCUAUAGCAGGGUCUGCGGGGCUUUUGUGACUAGUAA